rnacentral:lncRNA from 1 species
GAUUGCCGCCGUCGGCGGCGACACCGUCGCCGGAGCUGCUGUGCUGGAUUUUUGAAAUUGGCCGAGUAGGUCCUGGGACUGAUUUUGGGUUUAUUUGGGACACUUCUAAGUGCCGUAAGUGUGUUUCAGUUCCCGAAAAAAAAUUUAAGGAACCUAGGGACCGCCUGUAGGCGCAGUAACCAUAUUAUUUUCGGCAUCGAAUCAAG